rnacentral:snoRNA from 1 species
CUUCAGUGAUGAUACGAUGACGAGACAGAAAUGGGACUCCUGUUCUGCGGGUUACUGAUUCAGGGCUGCGUUCUGUAGUUCUGCUCCAGUUCCUCAGAACAGGGAGUCCUCUUCACAUGAAGACACCGAGGCAUUUGUCUGAGAAGG